GGUUCAUAUGAAAGUCGGAGGUUCAUGUGAUAGUCGGUGAUUUAUAUGAUAGUCGGAGGUUCGUGUGAUGUUCGGAAGUUCAUGGGAUAGUCGGAGGUUCAAUUGAUAGUCGAAGGUUCAUGUGAUGGUCGGUGGUUCAUGUGAUAGUCGGAGGUACAUGUGAUAGUCGGUGGUUCAUGUGAUAGUCGGAGGUUUAUGUGAUAUUCGGUGGUUCAUGUGAUAGUCGGAGGUUCAUGUGAUAGUCGGAGGUUCAUGUGAUAGUCGGAGGUUCAUGUGAUAGUCGGUGGUUUAUAUGAUAGUCGGAGGUUCAUGUGAUAGUCGGAGGUUCAUGUGAUAGUCGGUGGUUCAUGUGAUAGUCGGUGGUUCAUGUGAUAGUCGGAGGUUCAUAUGUUAGUCGGAGGUUCAUGUGAUAGCCGGAGAUUCAUAUGAUAGUCGGUGGUUCAUUUGAUAGUCGGAGGUUCAUGUGAUAGUCGGUGGUUCAUAUGAUAGUCGGUGGUUCAUGUGAUAGUCGGAGGUUCAUGUGAUAGUCGGAGGUUCAUAUGAAAGUCGGAGGUUCAUGUGAUAGUCGGUGAUUUAUAUGAUAGUCGGAGGUUCGUGUGAUGUUCGGAAGUUCAUGGGAUAGUCGGAGGUUCAAUUGAUAGUCGAAGGUUCAUGUGAUAGUCGGUGGUUCAUAUGAUAGUCGGUGGUUCAUGUGAUAGUCGGAGGUUCAUGUGAUAGUCGGAGGUUCAUAUGAAAGUCGGAGGUUCAUGUGAUAGUCGGUGAUUUAUAUGAUAGUCGGAGGUUCGUGUGAUGUUCGGAAGUUCAUGGGAUAGUCGGAGGUUCAAUUGAUAGUCGAAGGUUCAUGUGAUGGUCGGUGGUUCAUGUGAUAGUCGGUGGUUCAUGUGAUAGUCGGAGGUUCAUGUGAUAGUCGGAGGUUCAUGUGAUAGUCGGAGGUUCAUAUGAUAGUCGGUGGUUCAUAUGAUAGUCGGAGGUUCGUGUGAUAGUCGGAGGUUCAUGUGAUAGUCAGUGGUUCAUUUGAUAGUCGGUGGUUCAUGUGAUAGUCGGAGGUUCAUGUGAUAGCCGGAGAUUCAAAUGAUAGUCGGUGGUUAAUGUGAUAGUCGGAGGUUCAUGUGAUAGUCGAAUGUUCAUGUGAUAGUCGGUGGUUCAUAUGAUAGUCGGAGGUUCAUGUGAUAGUCGGUGGUUUAUAUGAUAGUCGGAGGUACGUGUGAUAUUCGGAAGUUCAUGGGAUAGUCGGAGGUUCAUGUGAUAGUCGAAGGUUCAUGUGAUGGUCGGUGGUUCAUGUGAUAGUCGGA